rnacentral:lncRNA from 1 species
ACAAACACCAUGCAGAGAGAGUUUUUUUGUCUAAUUAGAUAAUUAAUGACAUACAUGAACAGAUACACUGGGUGAACUAUGUGGUCAUCACCCCUCUGUCUAAUACUCAUCGCAAGCACCAAAAUAAAUUAUAUUGAGUCUAGUUUUGUAUAGAAAGCCCAACUGAUGAUGCUAGCAUAACUUCCAAAAGUCAGUCUUGACAGGUACUCCCAUACUACUAACCUGAAAGAAAUGAAAAAAAGAUUACUAAAAUUAUGAAGCAAACAAUUAAGCAAAAGAGAAGUUUUCUCCAACCAGAUUUUUUUUCCUUCUAAUUACCAACAGAGAAUUAAUUAUGUCCUUGUUAAGCCCAACUGGUGAAGGGAGUAUAACUUCCAAAAACCAGUGUUGGCAGGAACUCCUAAACUACUAACCUGAAAAAAGCAUAUCCAUAUAGAGAUGAGAGCCGAAAAACCUUUAGCCAAAAUCGGUAGCAAAAAGAAAAUCCAUAUAGAGAUGGCAAGUGGAAGUUCUUUAUAAUGGGAGUCGGGAAAAAAUCCGAGUAUUUGGUGACUAAAUUAGCUACAGAAUAUGACCAAGCUACCACAUUAAUGUAUGCCUAAAGAAUACAUCUAAAAACAAAGGAUGAUGAAGUCAAGUGUGACAUACAUAUCACAUAUCGAUACCUAAUAUCUUAUUAUCAGAAUGCAUCCCAAUCCAUGAUGAUCCUAGCAACAUCUCCAAAAUGGCAAUCCUGUGUGGAUAGUAUAUACAUACUCACUUCACAGUGCAAUUUACUGUAUAUUUAAUAUCAUGUGUUCAACAUAUAGUACCCUAUAAGGCUAACAAAUCUACAUUACAUUUCUUUAGUACAAGAGCAGAUUUUGCGAAGCUUCUAAAAGAAAUUGAUAAUGCCUCAAUGGCUGAGCGCCCUACUUUAGGCAAACUUGUUCAAAGAAUUAAAAAUGAUUCAUUUUAUUUUUAGGAGAGAGAAAACUAUCACAAAAGGAACAAUAAAUACCUGAGAAUAAUUUAGUAGUAAAAUAGUUAUCAAGAUGUACCAUUUCCUCUGCAUGUCAGCUAUUCAGCACAUCAUGUGUUUAUUUGUUUAAAAACCAUGUGAAAUUAAACCACAAUUACUUCCAUCGAGAAAAACGGAACACAAAACGUAAUGGAGAGAUUAAGAAUAAAUAUACCAUGUCAUAUUAAAGAUGCAGGUUCCGAAUUCCUUGCACAUUCACACAAGGAGCUGGACCCCCAAAUUUG